rnacentral:rRNA from 1 species
AGUAACACGUAAACAACCUGCCUUCAGGAUGGGGACAACGGACGGAAACGACUGCUAAUACCGAAUAAGUUCCAAGAGCCGCAUGGCCCAUGGAAGAAAAGGUGGCCUCUACCUGUAAGCUAUCGCCUGAAGAGGGGUUUGCGUCUGAUUAGCUGGUUGGAGGGGUAACGGCCCACCAAGGCGACGAUCAGUAGCCGGUCUGAGAGGAUGAACGGCCACACUGGAACUGAGACACGGUCCAGACUCCUACGGGAGGCAGCAUG